rnacentral:lncRNA from 1 species
CGCUGAACCCAGUAAAACUUGGAAAGCACGACAAAAGAGUUCAGGGUUAGCUGGUGAAGCUUCGCGUUGUAUCUUUCCAAAAUCUUUGGCAAUGUCUUGUCACAAGGAAACCUCAAGCUAGCGGUAAAAAAAUCCCUAAACACAACAGCCUCGCCGACCCGUGGUGUUGGCACCACCUCAUCACCUGGAGGCCUAGCAACCCCCUCGGCAAAAUAUCCUUUGCUGAUGUAGAAGUCAAUAGUGUUCUGUGAGGCCAGAGACCUCCCAAACUGUAGGGUAAGAGAGUACUCUUCCUUUCCGGCCAUCAAUUCUGAUGGGUCAGCCUUGACAUUCGAGAGAUCCUCCCCACUAUCAAUAGCAGUAGCCUCUAUAGCACCCUCGUCUAUCUUGUGGCCCUUAACAGCCUCGUUGUGUAACCUCUCUUGUUCAGCCAAUUCUUCAGCG